UGACUGAGUAGAGUGAAAGUCCUCGGAGC
rnacentral:piRNA from 1 species